CAGUGGAACAGAUAACAGCGUGGAUUAAGACCAACAAGAGGUGCUGGCGAUGCGGUUGCACACACCAGGCUGCACAGUGCUGCUUGAAAAUAACAUGUCACAAGUGUAAGGGGAGACACCUGCAAGCUUUUCAUGAAGUGCAUAUAAAACCUGCAGCUGAGGAUACAUCCUGUCUCAUCAGCACAACAAAUGAAGUUCUGUACAUGGACAGGCGGGCUGGAUGCAGCCAGGUCCUACUGAAAGUGAAUAAAGUGCUGCUGCGUAAUGGUGAACACACCUUGGAGACAUAUGCAAUCCUUGACGAUGGAUCGGAGCGGACCAUUCUCCUCCCUGCAGCAGCGCAGAGCCUUAAGCUUACUGGUGAUCCGGAAAAUCUGAUCCUCAGAACUGUUCGGCAAGAUAUCAGGGUUCUGCACGGCACUGCAGUGUCGUUCUCUAUCUCCCCAGUAGACCAUCCAAAGAAGUCCUUCAAGAUAUACAGAGCAUUCACUGCUGAUCAACUGGGUCUGGCUGAGCACACUUACUCAAUGAAGGCACUUCAGAGGAAGCACAAACAUUUAAGAGGCCUCCCUCUCCAGACGAUUAACAGAGUACAACCCCUGCUGUUAAUCAAGUCAGAUUACACCCACUUAAUCACUCCAGUGGAGCCUGUACGUUUGGAACCCCACGGGGGACCAGCCGCAGUGAAGACAAAGUUGGGCUGGACACUUCAGGGGGCAAUCAGGUACAGCAAGCAGCAGGCAACAUCACAACAGUGUCUGCACGUCUCCACCCUUUCACCCACUAACGAGCUUCUACAGAGUGUAGAGAGAUUGUGGCAGCUGGAUGUUCUGCCCUACAGGAGUGAAAAGCUUGUCACACGCUCCAGGCAGGAUCAGGAAGCAGUCCGCCUGCUGGAGGCGAAGACCACACGAGUAGAGAUUGAUGGAAUUCAGCGCUACGCUACUCCCCUCCUCAGAUCGAAGAACAUGCCACUGCUUCAGGCACCUAAGGAGGCUGUGCUAGCUAAUCUCCG
rnacentral:lncRNA from 1 species